CCUACGGGAGACAGCAGUGAGGAAUAUUGGUCAAUGGGCGUAAGCCUGAACCAGCCAAGUCGCGUGAGGGAUGAAGGUUCUAUGGAUCGUAAACCUCUUUUAUAAGGGAAUAAAGUGUGGGACGUGUCCUGUUUUGUAUGUACCUUAUGAAUAAGGAUCGGCUAACUCCGUGCCAGCCGCCGCGGUAAUACGGAGGAUCCGAGCGUUAUCCGGAUUUAUUGGGUUUAAAGGGUGCGUAGGCGGGCUUGUAAGUCAGCGGGGAAAGGCCGUGGCCCAAACAUCGAAUGGCCGUUGAAACUGGGAGGCUUGAGAAUGUGUGAGGCAGGCGGAAUGCGUGGUGUAGCGGUGAAAUGCUUAGAUAUCACGCAGAACCCCGAUUGCGAAGGCAGCCUGCCAAGCCAUGACUGACGCUGAUGCACGAAAGCGUGGGGAUCAAACAGGAUUAGAUACCCGGGUAGUC
rnacentral:rRNA from 1 species